rnacentral:misc_RNA from 1 species
ACACAAAAAAAAAAAAAAAAAAGAUGGAGAAAGAACAGUAAUGCUAACGAAGUCCACAAAAACAAAAGAAAGAUUUACUCGCCUCUUUAAUACAGAUCCAAAAGGGUCUGAUGCCAAAUUGAUUUAGAACCUAUAGAACAAGCAAAGGGAAAAGAGAACUUUCUAAAUUUUGAUUAAUUUUCAAUUGUCAAUAAUAAUAAGCUAUACCAAAAAUACUCAAAUUACGCAGGUAUCUAUACUCUAAUAACUAGUCCUAGUACUGCUAGGAUUUUGAAUACCAACUCAACUCAACUUAACUAAGCUUUUAUCCCAAAAAUU